UACCUGGAGGACUAGUGGUUAGGCUUCUGUGCUCUGACCUCCGUGGCCCGGGUUCGAUUCCUGGCCAGGGAA